AGCAGCUGCCGGUAUGCUGGGGCAGGGCGGUCCCCUUCCUGUGGUUCAGGUCUGGAGAUCAAGGCCAACAGCAUGCUGUAUUAGGAUGGUCCCAGUCCAAUGACUGAUGCCCUUAUACGAGGGAAAUCUGGACACAGACACACAGAGGAGGCCAUGCAGUGGUGGAGGCAGAGAUGUGUCUACAAACCAAUGAGCGAGCAGGUCCGCCGGCCACCACCAGAAGCUGGCAGGGGUGAGGAAGUCAUUCUUCCGUGGGGGCUUCAGAGGGAGCAUGGUCCCAGUACACCUUGAGUGUUGGCCUCCCGGCCUCCAGAGCUGUGAGAAAAUCCAUGUCUGUUGUUUGAAGCCACUGAGUUUGUGGCAUUUUGUUAUGGCUGUCCCAGGAAAGAAAUACAAUCACCAAAUGUCAAACAUAGGGCAACUGGGAAAAACAAGAAGGAAAUGCAUGAGGCACGUAAAGAAAAGACUUGGAAGAGACCAAGGACGGACAGGAAGGAACGCUUCCUCAACUUCCUCCUCGCACCCUGACAGGAAGCCAGAGACCUAGUGGCUGAGCCUUGGAAGAAGUGGCUACUUUCCCCCACGCAAGAGCGGAACCCUCAAGACCAGCAAGGGGGGCACCUGAGAACAGAAAGCAGAGUCGCACCCACAUCCUGGGCAGGCUGACUCAGUUGCUUGAAUCCUGCCUCUAGGGCCAAGGUCACCAUUUGAUCCUGGUCUGGGCCAGCUUUGUCCUAAUGGAGGAAAGCUUGGAACCAUGAAUCCUGGUUGGUCAUCUCCUGCUUGACUGUUUUGCUCACAAUGGGAACCUGGUCUGGGGUGAUGCACUAUCACUCAUCGCUCCACUGAAAGAUGUGCCCGGUGCACAUCCCCAGGACUGUGUUACCCAUCACCUUUACGCAUGGGACUCAGAAUGCACAGAGCGGUGUGUGCAUGCGGCAACGUGUAUACACUGUGUGCGUCUGGGAGGUGCUCUCAUCAUCUCUGGCCGCAUCCUGCAGAGGGUCCUGCAGCCUCUACCUGGCUUCUGGCUCUUUAUUUAUGUAUUCAUCUAUUUUAGAUGGAGUCUUGCUCUGUCUCCAGGCUGGAGUGCAGUGGAGUGAUCUCGGCUUAUUGCGACUUCCGCGACCCAGAUUCGAGUGAUUCUCCCGCUUCAGUCUCCCAAGUAGCUGGGACUACAGGCAUGCAGCACUGUCAGCAGUUAAUUUUUUUGUAUUUUUAGUAGAAACGGGGUUUCUCCAUGUUGGCCAGGCUGGUCUUGAACUCCUGACCUCAGGUGAUCCCCUGACCUUGGCCUCCCAAAGGGCUGGAAUUGCAGAGGUGCCUCUUUUAAUUGACUCCUCUCUAGGCAUCUCUCCUUCCAGCCACAGAGACUGGCCUGAUGGUUCCAGGGCCCCAGGUGAAGGCCUCUCUCCUCCCCCACUCAGGUCUGACCAGCUCUGUUUCCAUCCUGGUAUAGGCACAAGGUCUCUUGCUGCAGCUGGGCCAGUUUGCUGACCUUCUCAGCUCCUUCUCUUAGACUGGAGAGGCCUGGAAGGGUGCCUGAGGGAGGGUCUGGGCUGCUCUCCUGGGCUCCUCCCCUUCCACUCCAGGGCUCUGGCUGGAGCCUGGUCAGGGUCCUUACUGAGUUCUCAGCUAAGCCCCAGCCCUGUGACGGCCUGAGGGGUCUGGUGGGGAGGCCCCAAAGUGAGGGCUCCAUAGCCUUCCACUGUCCCUCCCCCAGCAUUGGGCAGUGCAAGCAGUCUCUGAAGGUCUUCUGGGUAGCCUUCCUUCCAUGCCCUCUUGCCUACUUUCACCAGGUGGCCAAGGGACACUAAAAAAGGCAGUGAAUAGCUAGAGGACCACUCUUGAAAGUCAGCCUGCCUCCCUCCUGGUGCCAGCUCCUCUCCCUCCAGCCUCCUUUUCAUAGAAUUCUACAAGAGGAAACAGAGAGGUCAUCUCCUCCACCGUCACUAAGUUUCCAGAAAGGAUGGGUUAGAGGGAUUUGGCAUUCUCUGAGGCUUCAGGCCAAACCUUGGACAUUGGGCUGGUCAGAGAUCUUGCUGGGGUUUCCUUGGGAAUUGUAUAUCCAUUGGGAGCACUAGCCCUGAACACCUGGGGCUCCCUACCUGCUAGGAGCUGGGAGGACUCUGGUGUUCCCUGUAAUCCCUCAGGGUCUAGGUGGAUGGAAUGGCAGCCCAGGACUGUUCCCCAGGCUGACCCGGACUCUAAUGAUAGCCAAGAGUGGACUUAGCUGUCAUUUAGAUCCCUGAGGGAGCCUUCACAGUAGCUGCUAAGCGGAGGCCCUGGCAGUGGAGAGGGUUCUCACACGUAGGAGAGGCAGUACUUAAGCAAGUAGCAAUGGAAAGGGCACUGGAUUUGACGUCAGCAGAGAGGUGGUCUAUUUCUGCUUUGCUCACUACUUAUCUGUGAUCUGAGGCAAGCCUAACCCUCUACAGCUUAGUUUACUCAUCUGGAAAGUGUGGUAUAUUUUAUUUUACCUGCCUUACAUCUGAGGCAUGGAGGGAGGACGAAAUGGGAUCACCUAUUAAAAUGCAUUUUGAAAAAACAGAAGUGCUAUUUAUGCAAACA